AGCAGUUGAAGAGAGAGGAGCCUUCUAGGUAUCCCGGAAGGUGACAGCCACAGUGUCCGACUCCGGUCUGGCCUCGGUGAUGUUGACUUGGAGUACUCUCAUGAUGACAGGAACCUCUGAGCCAGCCCAGGUGCCCCUCCUCUGCAUCGAAGAUGGAUUCUCGUCCCCG